UUAUAUGGUCAAGAAGAGAAGCGCAAACGGUGGAUGCCUUGGCAGUAAGAGGCGAAGAAGGACGUGGAAUCCUGCGAAAAGCUAUGGGGAGCUGGAAACGAGCGUUGAGCCAUAGAUGUCCGAAUGGGGGAACCCGGCUGCAGCGAUGCGGUCAUUUGCAUUUGAAUACAUAGGAUGCAAAGGCGAACUCGGGGAACUGAAACAUCUAAGUACCCGAAGGAAAAGAAAUCAAGAGAGAUUCUCCAAGUAGCGGCGAGCGAACGGGGAGGAGCCUGGCGUGAUUUAUUAUUGAACUGAGUAGAACAAUUUGGGAAAGUUGGCCGAAGAGGGUGAAAGCCCCGUAUACGAAGGUUUGAUGAGGAACUAGGCACGCGAACAAGUAGGCCGGGACACGUGAAAUCCUGGUUGAAGAUGGGUGGACC
rnacentral:rRNA from 1 species